rnacentral:rRNA from 1 species
AAGUCGUAACAAGGUUUCCGUAGGUGAACCUGCGGAAGGAUCAUUAUCGAAUAUGAUUCGAAGAGGUAGAGAGACUGUCGCCUGGCCAGAUCUUGGCAUGUGCACGUCCCCUCACCUUUUCUAUCUACACACACCUGUGCACCUAUUGUAGAUCCCUCUCGAAAGAGAGGGAACUAUGUUUUCAUCACAUCACACACAAUGUAUGUCUAGAAUGUAAAAAACAAUAUAUACAACUUUCAGCAACGGAUCUCUUGGCUCUCGCAUCGAUUAAGAACGCAGCGAAUUGCGAUAAGUAAUGUGAAUUGCAGAUUUCCAGUGAAUCAUCGAAUCUUUGAACGCACCUUGCGCUCCUUGGUAUUCCGAGGAGCAUGCCUGUUUGAGUGUCAUCGAAUUCUCAACCAUUCUCUCUUUUCUGGGAGUAUGGCUUGGACUUGGGGGUUGCUGGCAGCACUGUCAGCUCUCCUUAAAUGUAUUAGCAAUCAAGUUGGCUAGUCUUUUGACGUACACGGCCUCGGACGUGAUAAUGAUCGUCGUGNCUGGAGCGUCUUUCCUAGACUAUGUACAUAGAUCGCUUCUAAUCUGUUGUCUAUCGAGCUUAGCUACUAGGCAGUCUUUUUGGCUGGCGAACGCAAGCGAGACAUUCACAUUCUCAGAGACUUGACCUCAAAUCAGGUAGGACUACCCGCUGAACUUAAGCAUAUCAAUAAGCGGAGGAAAAGAAACUAACAAGGAUUCCCCUAGUAACUGCGAGUGAAGAGGGAAAAGCUCAAAUUUUGAAUCUGGCGGUCAUUUCGGCCGUCCGAGUUGUAAUCUAGAGAAGCGUCUUCCGCGCUGGACCGUGUACAAGUCUCCUGGAAGGGAGCGUCAUAGAGGGUGAGAAUCCCGUCUUUGACACGGACUACCAGCGCUAUGUGAUGCGCUCUCGACGAGUCGAGUUGUUUGGGAAUGCAGCUCAAAAUGGGUGGUAAAUUCCAUCUAAAGCUAAAUACAGGCGAGAGACCGAUAGCGAACAAGUACCGUGAGGGGAAGAUGAAAAGAACUUUGGAAAGAGAGUUAAACAGUACGUGGAAUUGCUGAAAGGGAAACGCUUGAUGUCAGUCACGUUCGCCAGGGAUCAACCUCGCUUUAUCGCUGGGUGCAUUUCUUGGUCGGACGGGUCAGCAUCAGUUUCGAUCGUCGUAGAAUGGUCAAGGGAACGUGGCACCUCUAGGGGUGUGUUAUAGCCCUCGAUCGUAUGCGUUGGUGGGGACUGAGGAACUCGGCACGACCUUUACUGGUCUGUGUCUAGGAUGCUGGCAUAAUGGCCUUAAGCGACC